CGCUGCGGCAGCCUAAUCAUGCAAGUCGAGCGGGAUGAUGAGAGCUUGCUCUCUGAUUUUAGCGGCGGACGGGUGAGUAACACGUGGGCAACCUGCCCUACAGAUGGGGAUAACUCCGGGAAGCCGGGGCUAAUACCGAAUAAUCAGUUUGUCCGCAUGGACAAACUCUGAAAGACGGUUUCGGCUGUCACUGUAGGAUGGGCCCGCGGCGCAUUAGCUAGUUGGUGGGGUAAUGGCCUACCAAGGCAACGAUGCGUAGCCGACCUGAGAGGGUGAUCGGCCACACUGGGACUGAGACACGGCCCAGACUCCUACGGGAGGCAGCAGUAGGGAAUCUUCCACAAUGGACGAAAGUCUGAUGGAGCAAUGCCGCGUGAGCGAAGAAGGUUUUCGGAUCGUAAAGCUCUGUUGUAAGGGAAGAACACGUACGGGAGUAACUGCCCGUGCCAUGACGGUACCUUACUAGAAAGCCACGGCUAACUACGUGCCAGCAGCCGCGGUAAU
rnacentral:rRNA from 1 species